GAUGAACGCUGGCGGCGUGCCUAAUACAUGCAAGUCGAGCGAAUGGAUUAAGAGCUUGCUCUUAUGAAGUUAGCGGCGGACGGGUGAGUAACACGUGGGUAACCUGCCCAUAAGACUGGGAUAACUCCGGGGAACCGGGGCUAAUACCGGAUAACAUUUUGAACCGCAUGGUUCGAAAUUGAAAGGCGGCUUCGGCUGUCACUUAUGGAUGGACCCGCGUCGCAUUAGCCAGUUGGUGAGGUAACGGCUCACCAAGGCAACGAUGCGUAGCCGACCUGAGAGGGUGAUCGGCCACACUGGGACUGCGACACGUCCCAGACUCCUACGGGAGGCAGAAGUAGGGAAUCUUCCGCAAUGGAUGAAAGUCUGACGGAGCAACGCCGCGUGAGUGAUGAAGGCUUUCGGGUCGUAAAACUCUGUUGUUAGGGAAGAACAAGUGGUAGUUGAAUAAGCUGGCACCUUGACGGUACCUAACCAGAAAGCCACGGCUAACUACGUGCCAGCCGCCGCAGUAA
rnacentral:rRNA from 1 species